rnacentral:rRNA from 1 species
AACGAACGCUGGCGGCGUGGAUUAGGCAUGCAAGUCGAACGCGAACUAAGUUGCCCGUAAGGGUAACUUGGGGAGAGUGGCGAAAGGGUGAGUAACGCGUAAGUAAUCUACCCUUAAGUUGGGAAUAACGACUCGAAAGAGACGCUAAUUCCGAAUGUGGAUAUAUUUGGGCAUCCAUAUAUAUCUAAAGGUGGGGACCUUCGGGCCUGCCGCUUAAGGAGGAGCUUGCGACCUAUUAGCUAGUUGGUAGGGUAAAAGCCUACCAAGGCAAUGAUGGGUAGCCGUCCUGAGAGGGUGGUCGGCCACACUGGGACUGAGACACUGCCCAGACUCCUACGGGAGGCUGCAGUCGAGAAUCUUUCGCAAUGGGCGAAAGCCUGACGAAGCGACGCCGCGUGAGCGAUGAAGGUCUUCGGAUUGUAAAGCUCUGUCACAUGGGACGAAAUGCACGUAUGUUAAUACCGUAUGUGCUUGACGGUACCAUGGAAGGAAGCCCCGGCUAACUUCGUGCCAGCAGCCGCGGUAAUACGAAGGGGGCAAGCGUUGUUCGGAUUUAUUGGGCGUAAAGGGCGUCUAGGUGGUUAACUAAGUCAGAUGUGAAAGCCUUCAGCUUAACUGAAGAAUUGCAUCUGAUACUGAUUAGCUUGAGUUCAGGAGAAGGGAGUGGAAUUCUCAGUGUAGCGGUGAAAUGCGUAGAUAUUGAGAAGAACACCGGUGGCGAAAGCGGCUCUCUAGCCUGA